rnacentral:rRNA from 1 species
AGAGUUUGAUCCUGGCUCAGGAUGAACGCUAGCGACAGGCUUAACACAUGCAAGUCGAGGGGCAGCAAUUUGUAGCAAUACAAAGUUGGCGACCGGCGCACGGGUGAGUAACGCGUAUGCAACCUACCCGCAACAGAAGGAUAAUCCGGCGAAAGUCGGUCUAAUACUUCAUAAAACAGGGACACCGCAUGGUGUUAUUUGUUAAAGAUUUAUCGGUUGCGGAUGGGCAUGCGUGCCAUUAGGUAGUUGGUGAGGUAACGGCUCACCAAGCCGACGAUGGUUAGGGGUUCUGAGAGGAAAGUCCCCCACACUGGUACUGAGACACGGACCAGACUCCUACGGGAGGCAGCAGUGAGGAAUAUUGGUCAAUGGGCGAGAGCCUGAACCAGCCAAGUCGCGUGAAGGAUGACGGCCCUAUGGGUUGUAAACUUCUUUUGCAGGGGAAUAAAGAUAUUCACGUGUGGGUAGUUGUAUGUACCCUGCGAAUAAGCAUCGGCUAACUCCGUGCCAGCAGCCGCGGUAAUACGGAGGAUGCGAGCGUUAUCCGGAUUUAUUGGGUUUAAAGGGUGCGUAGGCGGCCUGUUAAGUCAGCGGUGAAAUCUAGGAGCUUAACUCCUAAAUUGCCAUUGAUACUGGCGGGCUUGAGUGUAGAUGAGGUAGGCGGAAUGCGUGGUGUAGCGGUGGAAUGCAUAGAUAUCACGCAGAACUCCGAUUGCGAAGGCAGCUUACUAAGGUACAACUGACGCUGAAGCACGAAAGCGUGGGUAUCAAACAGGAUUAGAUACCCUGGUAGUCCACGCAGUAAACGAUGAUAACUGGGCGUAUGCGAUAUACAGUAUGCUCCUAAGCGAAAGCGUUAAGUUAUCCACCUGGGGAGUACGCCGGCAACGGUGAAACUCAAAGGAAUUGACGGGGGCCCG